GUCCAGACUCCUACGGGAGGCAGCAGUGGGGGAUAUUGCACAAUGGGGGGAACCCUGAUGCAGCGACGCCGCGUGGGUGAAGGAGCGUUUCGGCGCGUAAAGCCCUAUCGGCAGGGAAGAAGGAGGACGGUACCUGACUAAGAAGCCCCGGCUAACUACGUGCCAGCAGCCGCGGUAAUACGUAGGGGGCAAGCGUUAUCCGGAUUUACUGGGUGUAAAGGGGGCGCAGACGGCAGCGCAAGCCAGGAGUGAAAGCCCGGGGCUCAACCCUGGGACUGCUCUGGAAACUGUAAAGCUGGAGUGCGGGAGGGGCAGGCGGAAUUCCUGGUGUAGCGGUGAAAUGCGUAGAUAUCAGGAGGAACACCGGCGGCGAAGGCGGCCUGCUGGACCGUAACUGACGUUGAGGCUCGAAAGCGUGGGGAGCAAACAGGAUUAGAUACCCGCGUAAAG
rnacentral:rRNA from 1 species